UACGUAAGGUGCGAGCGUUGUCCGGAAUUAUUGGGCGUAAAGAGCUUGUAGGCGGUUUGUCGCGUCUGCUGUGAAAAUCCGGGGCUCAACCCCGGACUUGCAGUGGGUACGGGCAGACUAGAGUGUGGUAGGGGAGACUGGAAUUCCUGGUGUAGCGGUGAAAUGCGCAGAUAUCAGGAGGAACACCGAUGGCGAAGGCAGGUCUCUGGGCCACUACUGACGCUGAGAAGCGAAAGCAUGGGGAGCGAACAGG
rnacentral:rRNA from 1 species